ensembl:lncRNA
GUGGCCUGGUAUGGUUCCCAAUCAGAGGCAGCUGUUUAUCAUUGUCUCUGAUUGGGGAUCAUAUUUAGGCAGCCAUUUCCCCACUAUGUUUUGUGGGAUGUUGUUUUUGUGUUGUUGCCUUUGAGCACUUCAUUUACAUCACGUUCGGUGUUUCUUUAUUUUGUAUUGUUCUAAGUUCCACUUCAAUAAAUAUGUGGAACCCAGAUCACGCAGUGCUUUGGUCCGAGUAUGCUUCCAACGAUGAUCGUGACACAUUGUCCAUUUGGAAGACCCAUUUGCAACCAAGCUUUAACUUCCUUACUGAUGUCUUGAGAUGUUGCUUCAAUAUAUCAACAAUUUUCCUUCCUCAUGACGCCAUCUAUUUUGUGAACUGCAUCAGUCCCUCCUGCAGCAAAGCACACCAACAACAUGAUGCUGCCACCCCUGUGCUUCACGGUUGGGAUGGUGUUCUUCGGCUUGCAAGCCUCCCCCUUUUUCCUCCAAACAUAAUGAUGGUCAUUAUGGCCAAACAGUUCUAUUUUUGUUUCAUCAGACCAGAGGACAUUUCUCCAAAAAUUACAAUCUUUGUCCCCAUGUGCAGUUGCAAACCGUAGUCUGGCUUUUUUAUGGCGGUUUUGGAGCAGUGGCUUCUUCCUUGCUGAGAGGCCUUUCAGGUUAUGUUGAUAUAGGACUCGUUUUACUGUGGAUAUAGAUACUUUUGUACCUGUUUCCUCCAGCAUCUUCACAAGGUCCUUUGCUGAUGUUCUGGGAUUGAUGCGCACUUUUCGCACACAAGUACGUUCAUCUCGAGGAGACAGAAUGCGUCUCCUUCCUGAGCGGUAUGAAGGCUGCGUGGUCCCAUGGUGUUUAUACUUGCGUACUAUUGAUUGCACUGAUGAAAGUGGUAUCAGGUGUUUGGAAAUUGCUCCCAAGGAUAAACCAGACUUGUGGAGGUCUACAAUAUUUUUUCUGAAGUCUUGGCUGAUUUCUUUUGAUUUUCCCAUGAGUUUGAAGUUCGAAGGUAGGCCUUGAAAUACAUCUACAGGUACACCUCCAAUAGACUCAAAUUAUGUCAAUUAGCCUAUCAGAAGUUUCUAAAGCCAUGACAUCCUUUCUGGAAUUUUCCAAGCUGUUUAAAGGCACAGUCAAUUUAUUGUAUGUAAACUUCUGACCCACUGGAAUUGUGAUACAGUGAAAUAAUCUGUCUGUAAACAAUUGUUGGAAAAAUUACUUGUGUCAUGCACAAAGUAGAUGUCCUAACCGACUUUCCAGAACUAUAGUUUAUUCACAAGAAAUUUGUGGAGUGGUUGAAAAAUGAGUUUUAAUGACUCAAACCUAAGUGUAUGUAAACUUCCGAGUUCAACAAUAUGUCUCAGUCUGUGAGUCAUGCCGUGGGUAGAGGUCGUUCCCAUGCUGGUUGUGUUGUUUCCCUGCUGGUAGAGGUGGAACUCCACAGAGGUGACUGGAAUGAAGAGGAGGCUUUGGUGUCUGUCUCUACCCUACCGCCUGGUGAGUGAGGUGUCUGUCUCUACCCUACCGCCUGGUGAGUGAGGUUUCUGUCUCUACCCUACCGCCUGGUGAGUGAGGUUUCUGUCUCUACCCUACCGCCUGGUGAGUGAGGUUUCUGUCUCUACCCUACCGCCUGGUGAGUGAGGUGUCUGUCUCUACCCUACCGCCUGGUGACUAAGGUCUUCAAUGUGGAACAGAAACAUCACUAAACAAUGUUAGGCCAGGGAUGACCAGGGGUGUCCUGUGUUAUCUAAACAUUGUGUGUGAGUUAUCUGGAUGUUGUGUGUAUCCUCUGUGCUAGACUGUAGGGAAGAGACGUACCCCUGUACCAGGAUGUACUCUGUCCACCGGCCCAUCAAGAGAUGCAUCCACUCCCUCUGCCUUUACAGGUAAACUGCAACUACAGGUUCUCUCUCACAGGAAAACAUAGACACACUCAGUGCCUCCUGGUCAUGCAGUCAAAGUUCAUUGGUUUCAACCUGAGAGCCUGUACAGAGAGGCAUGUUUUAGAGACAGCAGCUGGGCUCUGAUUAUAGUGUAAUGAUGUAUGUCUCCUGGUUUGUCUCAGCCUCCCUCUAUGUGAUCAACAAGGAGAUAUGUGUUAGAACUGUCUGCCAACAGGAUGAGUACCUGAAGGGUAAGACAGUCCACCUGAUAGCACUUCAUUAGACCCGUUGUUAGGAUUACAACAACAUAACAAUCUUAGAGUGCAUGAAACACUUACUGGCUUUAGGACAGCAUGUACAUCUGAGCCCACACAUCCUCUCUCUCUUCUCUCCAUCCCAGCUGAGCUCUGCAGGGAGCGGUCCGGCUGGCCCAAACGCUUCCAGAGGUCAACCACCAAUAAGAAACGCUGUCACAAUCGCCGCGGCAAUCCCAAAAUCUGGGAAAACAAGGCCUGAUGGGCCCAAGACGGAGGAGUUAGAAGGAGGGGUGGAGGAGGAAGGAGAGGAGGACAGAAAGAGAGAAGGAGGGGUGGAGGAGGAAGGAGAGAAGGAGUAGGAGGGAGGACACCCUUGGAGACAGAACACUGGGUUGUCUCCAUAAAAAGACCCGGAAACACCAUAAAUUCCCCGCUCAACACCUGGUGCUAGCCUGUGCCUUAAUACACAACCACAACCACGCACGCACACACACAAACAAUAUAUAUUUAAAACACAGUCCACGUGACUCCAGUUAAGAGCAGUCUGAGUCAUAUUUUUCAUUUCUUCUAUUGGACCUGUGUUUUAAUAGAACUGUCUGUGAAUAUCAGGGGAGAAAUCACUCCCCACAGAUUGGAC